rnacentral:rRNA from 1 species
AUUGAACGCUGGCGGCAGGCCUAACACAUGCAAGUCGAACGAGUGGCGGACGGGUGAGUAAUGACUGGGAAACUGCCUGAUGGAGGGGGAUAACUACUGGAAACGGUAGCUAAUACCGCAUACCAUCGGAUGUGCCCAGAUGGGAUUAGCUAGUAGGUGGGGUAAAGGCUUACCUAGGCGACGAUCCGUAACUGGUCUGAGAGGAUGAUCAGCCACACUGGAACUGAGACACGGUCCAGACUCCUACGGGAGGCAGCAGUGGGGAAUAUUGGACAAUGGGCGAAAGCCUGAUCCAGCCAUGCCGCGUGUGUGAAGAAGGUCUUCGGAUUGUAAAGCACUUUAAGUGGUGAGGCGUUACCAACAGAAUAAGCAACGGCUAACUUCGUGCCAGCAGCCGCGGUAAUAC